rnacentral:lncRNA from 1 species
GGAGGGGAGUAAUUUAUUUCGGAAAACGUUUUUUCAGUGUAUUUCAAGAGCCUAAAAUGGAAUCAUCUUUUCCUAGUAAUUUACCUUCUGGGAGUAUAACCUUACAGACAUCUCACAUAAUCACUCCUUCCUGCCUAAAAUCCUUCCAUUGUUCUACAUUGCCCUCAGGGUGAAGGUCAGUAUCUUAAAUAAAAUAUUAAACUUUCCCCGUUAUGAUCUUGUGCUUGUUAAUUCACUAGCCUCAUCACUCGCAUUUCCCACCUUGAAUCCUAGGUUCCCAACUUACUUAAUCCAUGUCUUCGGAUGCCCAGAGGAGUCAUGUACACACCAUCCUUGCUGUCUGAACUCACCUUUUCUUUCUCUGUGUUCUUAGUUUUCAAUGCCUCUUACUCCAGGAAGCCUUAUGAUUAAUCUUACUCAUGGGUUAUUUGCCCCUCUUUGUACUCCUGAAGAAUUCUCUGCAUUUUUUUUUUUUUUUUUUUUUGGUCUUUUUGCCAUUUCUUGGGCUGCUCUUGCGGCAUACGGAGGUUCCCAGGCUAGGAGUCCAGUCGGAGCUGUAGCCGCCAGCCUACGCCAGAGCCACAGCAACUCGGGAUCCGAGCUGCGUCUGCAGCCUACACCACAGCUCACGGCAACGCCGGAUCCUUAGCCCACUGAGCAAGGGCAGGGAUCGAACCCGCAACCUCAUGGUUCGUAGUCGGAUUCGUUAACCACUGAGCCACGACGGCAACUCCUGCAUUUCUAUUUUGACACUUUUAUACCAGAGGCUGUUCACUGGUUGAUCCUCACCAUAGAACGUAAGCUCCGUAUGAACAUGAACAUGACUUUUUGCUUCUCAUUGUAUUUCCAGUGCUUAACAUAACCCUGUUUAUGACAGAUGUUUUGUUUUUGUUCAUUGGAGGAAUGCAGGGCAUAAAUCUGGAACAAAAGUAAAAAAGCCCUGGAAACUAAGGUACUCAUCACUAUUGGUAGAAAAACAGUUAAAAAUGAAAAGAAAAUACCAAUAAGCUUUCCAAAUAGAAAACGGGUUAAACAGUGAUUUCUCACCUUUUGGAAUACAAAGCCAGUGCAUUUUAUAUAAAAAGAGUUUUAAUAGCAAAGGAAAAUAACAUUAUCCAUUACUAAACUAAAAAAAGUAAGAUACAGACUUAUGCCUUCAAUUAUUUGAAUUACACAAAGAAGGAAAAAAUUUUAAAUAUUAAUGGAUAUUUCUUCUGAGUAGCAAAAUUAUCAAAGAGAAAUUUGUUUUCUUUAUUUUCUUUUAUUUCUUAAAUGUUCUAAAGAAAUUUGGAAUAGGAAGUUUUUGUUGUUUUAUAAUACAUAUUACCAUUUUAUUGAAAAGAAUAAAAGACGUUCAACACCUGGCAGCGGGUAAGUUUUCUGGGGCUGAUGGGUGAGAAACUUAAAUCGUGAGCUGGCAGCAAAGGCUGGUCAGCAGCAGCACAGAUUAGUGUUUUUAUUUAUAAAGCUGCAAAUUCCCCGAGCAAAGCGGGUGCUUCCAGUUGUUGAUUUAUACCCCUUGUCAAGGGAAGCCAAAGCACGAUAAUUCUCUGAUGCUAAGCUUUCCUUUGGGAUGAUGUUUAGUCUCUUCACUCCCCAAAUACUUGAUCAAUUAUAUAGUCCCUAUUGACACCUUAGGACACAUUUGAAAUGAAUGUCUUUCAUGCAGGAAAACUCCACAAAUUCACUGAGAGACACCCUUUCUCUCCAGGUGCAAAAAACACACUUACCUGCGGUAACCUUCAGUCUUUGGCUUUGAGUCAAUGUGCUGAGGGAAUCACGGAGCUGGAAGACCUCCACUGAGAUCUUGCAGGCUAUCUGCCUGAUGGGAUCACAGGGAGGACAGGUAUCCUUCUUGUUCAACCUCAGGUUGUUCAGUUGUAAAAUAAGGGUAAGUCAUUCAUGACAUUAUGUCGCAGUUUAUUACCUAACCCAGAUAUGAUACUGGCCAUUAUGACUCUUUUCACAUUGUGAAUUAUUAUACAAUAGUCCAUUUUCAAAGAGAAAGAGAGCAAGAUUCUCUACUUUGUAUCUGGCUCUUAUUCUAAUUAAUCUCUAAAGACUCGGGGAACAAGACACCAGUCUUUUGUGGCUUCAUCUCUGGAAUUCGUAUCACAGUGUGGGACAGUUAAAAAAAAAAAAAACUAAACUAAACAGCAUAGAUAGUUUUUUAAAAAUGUUUAUUAAGUUGGCUCUUGGAGUCCCAUCAUGGCUCAACAGAAACGAAUCUGACUAGCAAUCAUGAGGACUCGGGUUCAAUCCCUGGCCUUGCUUAGUGGGUUAAGGAUCCAGCAUUGCCAUGGACUGUGGUGUAGGUUGCAGACAUGGCUCGGAUCCCACAUUGCUGUGGCUGUGGCAUAGGCCAGCAGCUACAACUUGAAUUCAACCCCUAUCCUGGGAACCUCCAUAUGCCACAGUGCAAACCUAAAAAGGCAAGAAAUAAAUAAAUAGGCUAUACUUUGCUGUCAACCAGUUAAAAAGCACAAUCACCAAAUGGUUGUUUAAGUCCUAUAAUAAGUAAGUCACUGUUCUAAUUUCAAAGUGAGUCAGAAUAGGUUCUGUCCUUACAACCCAUAGACCAUUGAUGGAAUCUCUACAGAACAAAUAAAUACAAGUGGAAUUGUGUUACGUACAGAAUUAUAGGGACAUUAACUUUAGACUUGGCUGGAGGGAGUGAGUCAAUAUUUUACUUUUCUAUGGAGGAUUUUUAAACUGAGUCCUUAAAGAUGAAAAGGAAUUCACCAGAGAAGUGUGAGAAUCACUUGUAGGGCAGAUGCAGAGGUACUUUUGAGAGCCCUGUCGUGAAGCUACAAUACGAGUGUUCCAGAAGUGCUUGACUAGACCAUGAGCUUCUCAACAGCAGACUGUAUCCUCUUUGUCUUGGUGUUUCUAAUAUGUGGGUGUGGGGGAGGGGACACACCAUAGCAGAAGUUUUAUGACUAUGCAUUGACUGCGUCAGUGGUAUACUAGAAUACCCUCCCUGUCCUAAAAUAAUACAUAAGUAGAAAGAUGGGUAUCUGGAUCCAGAUAUCUUACCAGAUAGUGAACUUAUCUGCCAUUCUCUGCUAAAAUCCUGAUUAAACCACAAAUGUGUGGAGUUCCCAUCAUGGCUCAGUGGUUAACCAACCCGAGUACUAUCCAUGAGGACCUAGGUUCAAUCCCUGGCCUUGCUCAGUGGGUUAAGGAUCGGGCAUUGCCAUGAGCUAUGGUGUAGGUCACAGAUGCAGAUGGGAUCUGGCAUUGCUGUGACUAUGGCAUAGACCAGUGGCUGUAGCUCCAAUUCUACCCCUAGGCUGGGAACCUCCAUAUGCCUCGGGUAUGGCCCUAAACAGACAAAAGACAAAAAAAAGAAAAAAACAAAAAAAACAAAUAUGUGAUUAGGUAGCCAAGGGGCAUGUGGUUUACCCCUUCUUCUCUGUAUUGUUCUGUGCUUGAAUUAAGUUGUACUUUCUAGAAAACAACCUACCUGGAGCAUAUUCCCAUAGGCACCCACAAAGCCCUCUCUCUGAGAAAUAGUUUAGUGUUAUGCUUUUGGCUUUUAUCAAAGAUAAUUACAGGAAUUUCCUGGUGGUGCAGCAGGUUAAGAACUUGACAUUGUCACUGUAGUGGCUCAGGUCACUGCUGUGGCACAGGUUCGAUCCCUGGACCAGGAAUUUCCACAUGGUACAGACUCAGCAAACAAACAAACAAACAAAUAAACAAAACCCACAAAACUGUCAUAGUAAUCAACCUGAUGACAAAAUGUAAGCACUGCUGACCACAGGGCUCAUUUUGCUGUUUGAUAAUUUUUUUUUUUUUGUCUUUUUGCUAUUUCUUUGGGCCACUUCCGCGGCAUAUGGAGGUUCCCAGGCUAGGGGUCGAAUCGGAGCUGUAGCCACCGGCCUACACCAGAGCCACAGCAAUGCGGGAUCUGAGCCGCGUCUGCGACCUACACCACAGCUCACGGCAACGCCGGAUUGUUAACCCACUGAGCAAGGGCAGGGACCGAACCCUCAACCUCAUGGUUCCUAGUCAGAUUCGUUAACAACUGCGCCACAACGGGAACUCCCUGAUAAUUUUUUGACAAAUUAUUUCAGAGCUAAAAUAUGAACUCAUAUUUACUUAACAGUUUUUCUCAACUUUUUUCCCACUCUUACUCUCAUUGUAGCAGUUUUCUUAGACAUUAUUUUUUCUAAUAACCUCUCCCCCUACCAUGACCUUUUAGUACCAUAGAUAUAUUGUACACCUGUUUAUGUAUUUGAAGCCUAGUGGAAGACCACAAACCAUUAUAUUCCAUAAAAUUUUUUGACUCAAAAUGGUUGUUUGCCUCCUUAGAGGACAUAUCACUCCCAUCAGGAAUGCAUGCUAAUACCAUGUUGUUACAGAAUUAGUUAACCAGACCCUCACCAAGGUCCAAGCCCAUCAGGUCAAGGCCACUGGGAGGUUCUCUUCCUGCUUGGGUUUGUACAGCCAACAAAACCAACACUGAGUCUGAAACAGCACAAGCUUUAUCAUUGCUCAGAGAAUGGAGACAUGAGAACCUAGUUCAGAAAUCAGCUUCUUCUCCAGGGGAGAAGUGAUCAAAGCAAAAUGUUAAAGGCAAGGCUAAUCAGGGGAAAGCAUAUGUACUGGUUUUCUGGAAACAGUCUGAGUUCUUCCUGGAACUGAGGUGCCACCCCUUUUCUACCCUUUUGUUGUCCUUUAGCAUCUCUGUCAGGAAAGGAUGGAACCAUCUUGGUGCCGACGGGUGAAUGGAGAUCUUACCACUACAACGAGGUGGUAAUGAACUUCAGGGCAGACUUUGUCCCACUCUUGGAGCCGAACCAGCUUGUGCCGGUUUCCUUGUGGUUAGAAUUCUCUUGUUUCCGCAUUGGGAACCCAGCUAGAGGGUAUAGUGAGCUGUGGUAUUCUGCAAGUUCACCUGGAGCGAGGGCCAGGGCAUGGCUCUGGGGCAACAGCUUUGGUAGCAAUUCUAAACCGCACUAUUUCUGUUGUCCUCCCUAUUUGACUCAGAUUUGGACCUUCCCCUGUGAGACAGUGGGAUGGUACUUUGGAUAAUCUCAUAUAGAUUCAGAGGCUCUGAACUCUUAUUUCUUUGGACAGAUUAUUUCACCUCUUUCAGUUUCUUCAGCUUCUUAUAUGAGGAGUGGGGAUAGCGAUGCCUGAUACAAAGGACUGUUGUGAGCUUUGGGUAAGAUGAUGCAUGUAAAUUGCUCCACAUAGGAAGUUUGCAGAUAAAUUGAGGCAGUUUAUUGUGGUUAUUAGAGUGGAGUUCUAAGUGGAGUGAACAACAACAUGGAGAGGGUUGGGAGAAAGUUUUGGGUGACCCCUUAGUGUGAGGAGGCUGACUUGUGCUGGAGGACAGUGAGAAGAAAACGGUCGGGGAAUCUCAGAUCACACUGUUCCUUAAAAACCAGAGUUGGAGCUUAGUAUAGGAAGAUGUCUAGUCUUCCAUCAUAUUAGCUCUAAAAUUUACUAGCAGUCUGACUUAGGGAAUUUACUUGAUUUCUAAUUGUAAUCUUCUCCUUACAAAACAGCUGGCAUUGAGUACAUAGGGAAGUUGAAAAGAAUUAAUGAAUUAACCGAAUAUGCAAAACAUUAUGUGUGUGGUAGAUGGUGGUCUCCUUGGCAGAGUAACACUAUUAUGAGUCAUAAAUGAGUUUAAGUUAUGACAAAAGAUAAUCUCAUUCAGGAAAACAGGAUGGUUCAGAGUCUCAGAUGCAUAAGCAUCUAGGGCUAUAAACAGGUAAUAAUCGAGACCUCUAAGCUAUCAUUAGUUUAAAAGGUCUAGCAGAAAUUAGGCAUGUUUAUAAAAUAAAAAACAAUGUUGAAAAUAUUUUAAACAUUAGAAAAUACUGGUUGUUGUAUCUAUACCAGAAUUACAGUUAAUGGUACAUUCUAGUGUUCUAGUAAUAUUUCUAGGAAAUGAAUUCUUUUAGAACAAGCCUAGACUUUGAAGCCAGAAGAUAAAAAUAGGUUUGUGUCUAAGUCUGUAUCCAUGAGAAUGACCUAACCUUUCUGAAUCUUAUUUUCUCAUCCAUUUAAUAGGGAUAAUAAUAUUUGUUAUGAAAAAUUAUUUUCAGGAUACUCUGAGGUAAUAUACAGAAUGCCCCCAGGAAAAUACUAACAUGAAAAAUUAUUCCAAAUAUCAUUCUCUUCCAUCACUGAUAAAUGCAAGUUUGAUAUAAUUUUCCAAAAUAUAAGGUCUCGGAGUUCUCUGGUGGCUCAGCAUUUUAAGAUCAGGCAUCGUCAAUGCUGUGGCUC